GCAAAUAGCUUCACAAAGUUUACACGCAAUGCAUCUUUCCUCUCCAGUUGCAUAACGCCUAAGAGCAUGUUCUCCACGAAAACGAGGACUUAAAGGACCCUUCUCAAAUGGAUAGUUAAUCGUUACUUUCUUCUCAAAGAAGUACUUCAGCGUCAACAUUAAACCUCGAACCAUUUCAGUCAAAAAUAAUGUAUUGAUGCUUCGCUCAAAAACUGAAUUCCAAUCUUUUGAUAACUCCUUUGCUAGCUGCUCU
rnacentral:misc_RNA from 1 species